rnacentral:rRNA from 1 species
UGGGGAAUAUUGCACAAUGGGCGCAAGCCUGAUGCAGCCAUGCCGCGUGUGUGAAGAAGGCCUUCGGGUUGUAAAGCACUUUCAGCGAGGAGGAAGGUGGUGAGCUUAAUACGCUCAUCAAUUGACGUUACUCGCAGAAGAAGCACCGGCUAACUCCGUGCCAGCAGCCGCGGUAAUACGGAGGGUGCAAGCGUUAAUCGGAAUUACUGGGCGUAAAGCGCACGCAGGCGGUUUGUUAAGUCAGAUGUGAAAUCCCCCGGGCUCAACCUGGGAACUGCAUUUGAAACUGGCAAGCUAGAGUCUCGUAGAGGGGGGUAGAAUUCCAGGUGUAGCGGUGAAAUGCGUAGAGAUCUGGAGGAAUACCGGUGGCGAAGGCGGCCCCCUGGACGAAGACUGACGCUCAGGUGCGAAG